rnacentral:rRNA from 1 species
ACAAUGAAGAGUUUGAUCCUGGCUCAGGAUGAACGCUAGCGGCAGGCUUAACACAUGCAAGUCGAGGGGCAGCGAGAUUGUUAGCAAUAACGAUUGUCGGCGACCGGCGCAAGGGUGCGUAACGCGUGAGCAACUUGCCCGUUUCAGGGGGAUAACCGGUGGAAACGCCGACUAAUACCCCAUGGUGAUAUCUUAAGGCAUCUUAAGAUAUCUAAAGAGUUUCGGAAACGGAUAGGCUCGCGUGACAUUAGCUGGACGGCGGGGUAACGGCCCACCGUGGCGACGAUGUCUAGGGGUUCUGAGAGGAAGGUCCCCCACACUGGAACUGAGACA